UCUCCAUAGUAUGCGGGGCCCAAGAUGGA
rnacentral:piRNA from 1 species